UUUUCGGAACUCGUAUGGAGGGUUUUGAGGGGAUCGAUCGGCGGGCACGGAUAAAGCCUGUUUGGGAUACCAAUUUAAGUGAGGAAAUGUUUUAUUUAUAAAUUCAAAUUCUUUUCCUUUUGUUUCCCAAAAUCGCCGAUCCCUAACUCAUUCCUUCCCCGAUCUCCCCUGCUCGAAGCCGCGCCCUUCUCCCCUCUCUUCCUCCUGAUCUCUCCUCUGUGCUCUCUCUCGCGGACGAGCGAUGCCACGGGAUUAGGGUUCCAGCCCCGGCGAUCUUUCCUUGCCGGCAUCGGCAUCUAUUGAGCUUCAAUCCAGCCGCGGACCUUCUCUCUCGUUGACGGUCCGACGACCUCUCGGUGGCUAGGGCACGGCGAGGAGCCGGAUAUUGCAUCCUCUUCAACCGGUAGACCUUCCCUUUCCCCUCUUCUGGUUUCCUUCAUCCCGGUUCUCUGCGAUCUUAUCCAAUUGUUCCUGCCGAGCCCUAGCUCUGUUUCAGUGUCGUUGCCGGCCUUGAAGGUAAGCAACCGAUUCCUUCUCGUCUCUUGGUUGUCGCCUAUCUUUGAGGGAGGGGAGGUUCUGUGAAGGUGAUCUUGGAUCCCUUCUAUGUUGCUGUUGACUGAGGUCCCGGUUGGAGGUGAUGAGGUUGUGUACUGUUGGUGUUCUUGAUCUCACCUUGAACCCAAUUGAAUAGGGAAGGAUUUCAGGAGGAUUAUGUUCUGUGGAAACCAGUGAGGAUCUGAGAAGGUGAUCUUGGUUCCGAUAGGAAUAACCAUUUGAUCCAGCAUCAAUAGCAGCUGGGAC